UUAUCCACGCAUCUAUGGUUUCUCUUGAAAUUACAAAUUAUUUUUGUGCGAUUCACAAAUACAAACUAAAACAUGAUGGGAUUAACAUCUACUCUUAGCGUUGAGAGAAUUGGCGGGAAAUUAUUGUGAUCGAUGAAUGCAAA
rnacentral:sRNA from 1 species